UACGUAGGCAGCGAGCGUUGUUCGGAGUUACUGGGCGUAAAGGGUGUGUAGGCGGUUUUUUAAGUUUGGGGUGAAAUCCCCCGGCUUAACCGGGAGGGUGCGCCGAAUACUGAGGGACUAGAGUGCGGGAGAGGAGAGUGGAAUUCCUGGUGUAGCGGUGAAAUGCGUAGAUAUCAGGAGGAACACCGGUGGUGUAGGCGGCUUUCUGGACCAUAACUGACGCUGAGACACGAAAGCGUGGGUAGCAAACAGG
rnacentral:rRNA from 1 species